rnacentral:tRNA from 1 species
GGGCCGUUAGCUCAGUUGGUUAGAGUGUCUGCGUGGCACGCAGAAGGCCGCCGGUUCGAAUCCGGCACGGUCCACCA